rnacentral:siRNA from 1 species
UCACUUUUACUUUCUUGCCUA